CUUCUUCAUCGCCUUCCCCUCGGUCCCCUGGGGCUCCAGGUUUUGGAAGGGUUUUCUCUCAGUGAUUUCCUGCGAUCCAGGUGCAUCCCUUCCUUUGUCCACAUCCAGUGCCAGAGGAUCGAAUAACUGACGAGUGGGGUCUGGGAUGAAAACGGUUCUCC